UACAGGUAAAUCAGUGAUGUACACCUAACUACAGGUAAAUCAGUGAUGUACACAUAACUACAGGUAAAUCAGUGAUGUACACAUAACUUCAGGUAAAUCAGUGAUGUACACCUAACUACAGGUAUAUCAGUGAUGUACACAUAACUACAGAUAAAUUAAUGAUGUACAUGUACACAUUACUAAUUAUAAUCAUAUUCCAUUAUAUAUCUAUAUUAAGAAUAAAUUGUAUAUACAUAGUAAUGAUAAUGAUAAACUGUCAAUAUAUCAACAUGAAAGGACACUACAGGUGACCAUCUUAAUGACUCAUUUUCUCUAAUCAGUGUUUUUAUUGCAAAAUAUCUAGGAUCAUGUCAAAAUAAAAAGGUUUCCUAUAGAAAUAUUUUGUAUUUUAUAAAAUGAGUGAUAGUGACAAACAAAAUCCCUGAUUUUUAAACUAUUUGCAUAUAAAAUGGACAAGUAAUAUUAUACAAUAUUGACAAUUGUGUUUGUUCUUUGUUCAUACGUAACACACUUUACAGGAUUAAAGACAAGUGUGGUUGAAUAUAAAGUAGAAAAAAAUAAUCGGAUCAAAUUAUCUUUCCCAUUUCAAUCAAGAUUACAUCACAAUGACAAAAUGUAUAACUGUUUACUGAUAUA